CCUACGAGUGGCAGCAGUGGGGAAUAUUGCACAAUGGGGGAAACCCUGAUGCAGCGACGCCGCGUGAGUGAAGAAGUAUUUCGGUAUGUAAAGCUCUAUCAGCAGGGAAGAAAAUGACGGUACCUGAUUAAGAAGCCCCGGCUAACUACGUGCCAGCCGCGGCGGUAAUACGUAGGGGGCAAGCGUUAUCCGGAUUUAUGGGGUUAAAAGGGGAGGCAGGCGGUCUGUUAAGUCAGCGGUCAAAGCCCGGGGCCCAACCCCGGCCCGCCGUUGAAACUGGCAGUCUCGAGUUGGAGGGAAGUAUGCGGAAUGCGCGGUGUAGCGGUGAAAUGCAUAGAUAUCGCGCAGAACUCCGAUUGCGAAGGCAGCAUGCCGGCUCCACACUGACGCUGAGGCACGAAAGCGUGGGUAUCGAACAGGAUUAGAUACCCCUGUAGUC
rnacentral:rRNA from 1 species